ACUAAUUCCACUUCCGUGACACUAACAACUUCACAAAUAAUCUAAUUAUGUUUGUCUAUAUGAUCAAUGAGCAUUAAUAACAAGUCUAUUUUCACAAACGCCUUCCAGAUAUGAAAGCUCAUAUCAAAAGAAGAGGUUGGAUCUAAAUCAACUUUUAGAGUAGAGAAGUUUCCGGAUCGACACAUAACAGAUCUGGGUCUGAUCAUGGACUUUGGAUCGUGAGAAUGUCCCUCUACACCCAGGUCCUG